CCGCCCCGCCCAGCGCACUCAGCCUGGCCCCGGGGCGCAGCAGGGAGCCGGUGCUCGAGGGGCGAAGAGAGCGUCCCGCCCCCAGCCUGGCACCCAGUCCUGGACCUCUCCGGGGGCAGCCCAUGACUCCUCCGUGGGGCUGAGAAGUCCCCUCCCCCCACGGCCCCCCCAUGCUGCCCCGCUCGCUGCGCCAUCUGCUGGAGGGGGCCCGGCUGGAGCUGGGGGAGGAGCAGGGGGUCACUCUGAGCGGGUACCGGAGCUGGUCCCCCGACCCCCCGCAGCCGCAGCCCCCAGUGACCCUGACUGAGGAGGCCGAGGAGGGGGUGAUCUACACAGUGACCACACGCCAGCCCGGGGGCGCCCAGCCAGGGGCCCCGGUGGGGGCAGGGAGCCAGGCCCGCUCGCUGAAGGCCGGGUCGCUGGUCCGGCUGGUUCGGCACCUGCUGGAGGCCCAGAUGCUGGGCGACACCACCUACGUUCCUGCCUUCCUGGUCACCUACCGGGUGUUUGCUCACCCUCCUACGGUGCUGGGGCUGCUGCUUGACAGGCUGGAGGAGGUCGGGGCGCUGGAGCUGGGGCCCGUCUCCCCAGAGACAGCUGAGCUACAGCGGUGAGUGACACCCCCCACAGCCUCCCCCUCCCUUCCCCUGGCUGUGUCCCCCAUUCACCCCCAUCUCCCCCCAGGGCCUUCUCCUCGGUGAUGUGCUCCUGGCUGGACGGGUACCCCGAGGAUUUCGGAGGGGCCUUGGACCCGGGCCUGGUGGAGCGACUGGGCCGGAGCCUGCAAUGUGCCCUGGGGCAGGGCUCCGAGGCCGAGAGAUGCCUGCUCGCCCUACGGGGGGUGCAGGGAGGGCCCAGCAAUGGAGGUGAGGCGUGACUAGAAUAGGGAUUCUAUUUAAUGGGGGUGGGGAAGCCUGCAGACAGGGGAGGGAGGC
rnacentral:lncRNA from 1 species